AGGGGCGGCAGCCUACACAUGCAAGUCGAACGGCAGCACAGGAGAGCUUGCUCUCUGGGUGGCGAGUGGCGGACGGGUGAGGAAUACAUCGGAAUCUACUCUGUCGUGGGGGAUAACGUAGGGAAACUUACGCUAAUACCGCAUACGACCUACGGGUGAAAGGAGGGGACCUUCGGGCCUUGCGCGAUUGAAUGAGCCGAUGUCGGAUUAGCUAGUUGGCGGGGUAAAGGCCCACCAAGGCGACGAUCCGUAGCUGGUCUGAGAGGAUGAUCAGCCACACUGGAACUGAGACACGGUCCAGACUCCUACGGGAGGCAGCAGUGGGGAAUAUUGGACAAUGGGCGCAAGCCUGAUCCACCCAUACCGCGUGGGUGAAGAAGGCCUUCGGGUUGUAAAGCCCUUUUGUUGGGAAAGAAAUCCAGCUGGCUAAUACCCGGUUGGGAUGACGGUACCCAAAGAAUAAGCACCGGCUAACUUCGUGCCAGCAGCCGCGGUAAUACGAAGGGUGCAAGCGUUACUCGGAAUUACUGGGCGUAAAGCGUGCGUAGGUGGUCGUUUAAGUCCGUUGUGAAAGCCCUGGGCUCAACCUGUGAACUGCAGUGGAUACUGGGCGACUAGAGUGUGGUAGAGGGUAGCGGAAUUCCUGGUGUAGCAGUGAAAUGCGUACAGAUCAGGAGGAACAUCCAUGGCGAAUGCAGCUACCUGGACCACCACUGACACUGAGGCACGAAAGCGUGGGGAGCAAACAGGAUUACAUACCCUGGUAGUCCACGCCCUAAACGAUGCGAACUGUAUGUUGGGUGCAAUUUGUCACGCAGUAUCUAAGCUCACGCGUUAACUUCCCCGCCUGGGGGAGUACGGUCGCGAGACUGCAAACUCAAAAGCAAUUGACGGGGGGCUCGGCACCACGCGGCGGAGUAUGUGGUUUAAUUCUAUGCAACGCGAAGAGCCUUACCUGUCUUGACGUGGUCGAGUAGCUUUACAGAGAUGGAGUAGUGUCUUUCGUGGACUCGAACACAAGAGCUGCAUGCUGUCGUCAGUCGUGUCUGACAUGUAGGGAUGAGUACCGCAACGAGCGCUAUCCCUCGCUCUACUGCUAUCAUGUAUGACUGCAGCUCGUAGGGAGACGUCAUGACGAAGCGACGAGAGGAUGACGCUAGGUCAUCAUGUUCCCUACGGCUAGCUCACACUGAGCUCAGUGUUACGGUCAGUAGGUGUGAGUCGGCA
rnacentral:rRNA from 1 species